rnacentral:rRNA from 1 species
GUGGGGAAUUUUGGACAAUGGGCGCAAGCCUGAUCCAGCAAUGCCGCGUGUGUGAAGAAGGCCUUCGGGUUGUAAAGCACUUUUGGCAGGAAAGAAAUAGUGCGUGCUAAUACCAUGCGCGAAUGACGGUACCUGCAGAAUAAGCACCGGCUAACUACGUGCCAGCAGCCGCGGUAAGACGUAGGGUGCAAGCGUUAAUCGGAAUUACUGGGCGUAAAGCGUGCGCAGGCGGUUUUGUAAGACAGGUGUGAAAUCCCCGGGCUCAACCUGGGAACUGCACUUGUGACUGCAAGGCUAGAGUGUGUCAGAGGGAGGUGGAAUUCCGCGUGUAGCAGUGAAAUGCGUAGAGAUGCGGAGGAACACCGAUGGCGAAGGCAGCCUCCUGGGAUAACACUGACGCUCAGGCACGAAAGCGUGGGGAGCAAACAGGAUUAGAAACCCGUGUAGUCC